rnacentral:rRNA from 1 species
GUAACACGUAGUCAACAUGCCCAGGGGACGUGGAUAACCUCGGGAAACUGAGAUUAAACCGCGAUAGGUCAAGAUUUCUGGAAUGGAUCGUGUCUUAAAUCUACAUGGCCCCUGGAUUGGACUGCGGCCGAUCAGGCUGUUGGUGAGGUAAUGGCCCACCAAACCUAUAACCGGUACGGGCUCUGAGAGGAGAAGCCCGGAGAUGGGCACUGAGACAAGGGCCCAGGCCCUAUGGGGCGCAGCAGGCGCGAAACCUCUGCAAUGGGCGAAAGCCUGACAGGGUUACUCUGAGUGAUUUCCGCUAAGGAGAUCUUUUGGCAACUCUAAAAAUGGUGCAGAAUAAGGGGUGGGCAAGUCUGGUGUCAGCCGCCGCGGUAAUACCAGCACCCCGAGUGGUCGGGACGAUUAUUGGGCCUAAAGCAUCCGUAGCCGGUCGUGCAAGUCCUCCGUUAAAUCCAGCCGCUCAACGGAUGGGCCGCGGAGGAUACUACAGGACU